AGCGUGCGGAUGGCCGAACUUCAAUGUGCAUCUUCAAAAACAAAGCGUAGUGCUGUUUGUGCUGGCGCUUAUUAUGAGUGUCAUCUCCUGUGAUACACACUCAUGCCACAGCAGAGGAGACCAAUGAAAAAAAGUUAUUCAGGGCUGUUUCUGCAAAAGACACUACACAGCAGUGUGCUAAAGGAGGCUGGAGACCUUUUGGAU